AUUGAACGCUGGCGGCAGGCCUAACACAUGCAAGUCGAGCGGUAGAGAGGUGCUUGCACCUCUUGAGAGCGGCGGACGGGUGAGUAAUGCCUAGGAAUCUGCCUGGUAGUGGGGGAUAACGCUCGGAAACGGGCGCUAAUACCGCAUACGUCCUACGGGAGAAAGCAGGGGACCUUCGGGCCUUGCGCUAUCAGAUGAGCCUAGGUCGGAUUAGCUAGUUGGUGAGGUAAUGGCUCACCAAGGCGACGAUCCGUAACUGGUCUGAGAGGAUGAUCAGUCACACUGGAACUGAGACACGGUCCAGACUCCUACGGGAGGCAGCAGUGGGGAAUAUUGGACAAUGGGCGAAAGCCUGAUCCAGCCAUGCCGCGUGUGUGAAGAAGGUCUUCGGAUUGUAAAGCACUUUAAGUUGGGAGGAAGGGUCGUUACCUAAUACGUGACGAUUUUGACGUUACCGACAGAAUAAGCACCGGCUAACUCUGUGCCAGCAGCCGCCGCAG
rnacentral:rRNA from 1 species